rnacentral:misc_RNA from 1 species
ACACUCGGCAGCUCUUCCAGAAUGGGCAAUGAAAGUGACAGUUUGAUCAUCUUUUCAUACAGAUGCUUAAUUCUCCAAGUUAAUUCCAUUCCUCAAUAGUACCACGAUAUCAUGCUGGAACCGCCAAACUUUUCUCUAUGCCCGUGAAGCCGUCUUGCAUUGUUGUUGAGGGACCCUUGCCAGCACUCUUUUCUAUUUUUCUCCUGCUGCGCCACAAAAGCCGAAUUGGAGUGCCUGCAAACCCUGCACUUGUCCUCAGUUGCUUUUCCAUGUAACGACGGUAUGUCUCAGGAAAGAGUUUUGCAUCAUUAACAAAGAAGACAAAUGUAGGCGGUCG